GGGUCAUGGCCCUUAAUGACAGAGAUUCAUAAAUCUAAAUCCUUUUCUAAACCUUUGUCAAAGGUUAACUUAGAGUGUCUUCUUCUGCGAUGUAUCUUUGGGAGAUGCUUUACAUGAAGUUUUUUGCAGCAUCCCUUAUCCAACAAGUUUAAUGUUUUUUCUCCACACACAAAGUAGUGAACUUUUUGUUCCCUCAAAGCUCAACAACAGGGGUAUCUAGGAUCUUCCAUUAAAUUUCAAGCAGUGAGUCAUCUUUUCUAUUUAACAACCUGAAACGACU
rnacentral:lncRNA from 1 species